UUGGGUUUGAUCCUGGCUCAGGGUGAACGCUGGCGGCGUGGAUAAGGCAUGCAAGUCGUACGGCCUCGUGCUUUUCUUGCACGAGGUAAGUGGCGAACGGGUUAGUAACACGUAGGUAACUUACCCCGAAGACGGGCAUAACCUCGCGAAAGCGAGGCUAAUUCCCGAUAGUCCCAGCUUCACGAAAGUGGAGGUGGGUAAAACCUGCCCGCAAGGGUAAGGGCUUCGGGAAAGGCCUGCGUCCCAUCAGCUAGUUGGUGGGGUAAUGGCCCACCAAGGCUAUGACGGGUAGGGGGUGUGAGAGCAUGACCCCCAACAAGGGCACUGAGACACGGGCCCUACUCCUACGGGAGGCAGCAGUCGAGAAUCUUCGGCAAUGCCCGCAAGGGUGACCGAGCGACGCCGCGUGCGGGAUGAAGACCUUCGGGUUGUAAACCGCUUUUCACCACGAGAAACUCAGCGUCUUUUUUGAUGCUGGGUGAUAGUAGUGGUGGAAUAAGGGGUCACUAAACUCGUGCCAGCAGUGGCGGUAAUACGAGUGCCCCGAGCGUUAUCCGGCUUUACUGGGCGUAAAGGGUCCGUAGGCGCCCGGGAAAGUUCUCGGUAAAAUCUCUGGGCUCAACCCAGAGAAGUCCGGGAAUACUUCUCGGGUAGAGGGAACCAGAGGUAGGUGGAACUCACGGAGUAGGGGUGAAAUCCGUUGAUACCGUGAGGAACACCAAAAGCGAAGGCAGCCUACCAUGGUUUACCUGACGCUGAGGGACGAAAGCGUGGGGAGCGAACCGGAUUAGAUACCCGGGUAGUCCACGCCCUAAACGAUGCUGGCUAGGCAUUAGCAGUCUCGACCCUGUUAGUGCCGAAGCUAACGCGUUAAGCCAGCCGCCUGGGGAGUACGGUCGCAAGGCUGAAACUCAAAGGAAUAGACGGGGGCUCACACAAGCGGUGGACCACGUGGCUUAAUUCGACGACAAGCGAAGAACCUUACCAGGGCUUGACAUGCUGGGAUGUACUCCUUCCGAAAGGAAGGGGGACCGUCAAUUCGGAGCCCAGCACAGGUGCUGCAUGGUUGUCGUCAGCAGGUGGCGUGAGUUGCUCCCUUCAAUGGGGAAACCUGCGCAACCCCUGCCUGGUGUUAAAAGUGUCACCAGGGACUGCCCUGGGAUUACCAGGGAGGAAGUGGGGACGACGCCAAAUCAGCAUGGCCCUUAAGCCCUGGGCUGCACACGUGGUACAAUGCCCGCUACAAAGGGUUGCGAACCCGUAAGGGGGAGCUAAUCCCAUCAAAAGCGGGCUCAGUUCGGAUCGAGGGCUGAAACCCGCCCUCGUGAAGCCGGAAUCGCUAGUAAUCGUGGAUCAGCCACGCCACGGUGAAUAUGUCCCUGAGCCUUGCACACAC
rnacentral:rRNA from 1 species